AGCAGCCGCGGUAAUUCCAGCUCCAAUAGCGUAUAUUAAAGUUGUUGCAGUUAAAAAGCUCGUAGUUGAAUUUCGGGGUCAAUAAGUUGGUCAUGCCAAUGGUAUGCACUGGCUUUAUUGAUUCCUACCUCUUGACGAACUGUGAUGCCAUUAAUUUGGUGUUGCAAGGAAUCAGGACUGUUACCUUGAAAAAUUAGAGUGUUUUAAAGCAAGCUUACGCUUGAAUACAUUAGCAUGGAAUAAUGAAAUAGGACGUUUGAUCCUAUUUUUGUUGGUUUCUAGGAUCGACGUAAUGAUUAAUAGGGAUAGUUGGGGGCAUUAGUAUUCAAUUGUCAGAGGUGAAAUUCUUGGAUUUAUUGAAGACUAACUACUGCGAAAGCAAUUUGCCAAGGAUGUUUUCAUUAAUCAAGAACGAAAGUUAGGGGAUCGAAGACGAUCAGAUACCGUCGUAGUCUUAACCAUAAACUAUGCCGACUAGGGAUCGGAUGAUGUUAAUUUUUAAUGACUCAUUC
rnacentral:rRNA from 1 species